AGAGUUUGAUCAUGGCUCAGGAUGAACGCUGGCGGUAUGCCUAACACAUGCAAGUCGAACGAUGUCUUCGGACAUAGUGGCGGACGGGUGAGUAACGCGUGAGAAUCUGCCUCUAGGAUGGGGAUAACGGUUGGAAACGACCGCUAACACCCAAUAUGCCGUAAGGUGAAAAAUUUAUUGCCUGGAGAGGAGCUCGCGUCUGAUUAGCUAGUUGGUGGGGUAAGAGCUCACCAAGGCCUCGAUCAGUAGCUGGUCUGAGAGGAUGAGCAGCCACACUGGGACUGAGACACGGCCCAGACUCCUACGGGAGGCAGCAGUGGGAAUUUUCCGCAAUGGGCGAAAGCCUGACGGAGCAAUACCGCGUGAGGGAGGAAUGCCUUUGGGUUGUAAACCUCUUUUCUCAGGGAAGAAGAUCUGACGGUACCUGAGGAAUAAGUAUCGGCUAACUCCGUGCCAGCAGCCGCGGUAAUACGGAGGAUGCAAGCGUUAUCCGGAAUCAUUGGGCGUAAAGCGUCCGCAGGUGGUUUCCAAAGUCUGCUGUUAAAGACUGGAGCUCAACUCCGGAACGGCGGUGGAAACUUGGAAACUAGAGUUCGGUAGGGGUAGCAGGAAUUCCCAGUGUAGCGGUGAAAUGCGUAGAUAUUGGGAAGAACAUCGGUGGCGAAGGCGUGCUACUGGACCGUAACUGACACUCAGGGACGAAAGCUAGGGGAGCGAAAGGGAUUAGAUACCCCUGUAGUCCUAGCUGUAAACGAUGGAAACUAGGUGUGGCUUG
rnacentral:rRNA from 1 species